UACAGAGGGCUCAAGCGUUGUCCGGAAUUAUUGGGCGUAAAGAGCGUGUAGGCGGUCCGGUAAGUCAGCUGUGAAAGUCAAGGGCUCAACCCUUGAAAGCCGGUUGAUACUGUCGGGCUAGAGUCCGGAAGAGGCGAGUGGAAUUCCCGGUGUAGCGGUGAAAUGCGCAGAUAUCGGGAGGAACACCAAUGGCGAAGGCAGCUCGCUGGGACGGUACUGACGCUCAUGCACGAAAGCGUGGGGAGCAAACAGG
rnacentral:rRNA from 1 species